ACAGGCUUAACACAUGCAAGUCGAGGGGCAGCAUGUUCUUAGCUUGCUAAGGCCGAUGGCGACCGGCGCACGGGUGAGUAACACGUAUCCAACCUGCCGUCUACUCUUGGACAGCCUUCUGAAAGGAAGAUUAAUACAAGAUGGCAUCAUGAGUCCGCAUGUUCACAUGAUUAAAGGUAUUCCGGUAGACGAUGGGGAUGCGUUCCAUUAGAUAGUAGGCGGGGUAACGGCCCACCUAGUCUUCGAUGGAUAGGGGUUCUGAGAGGAAGGUCCCCCACAUUGGAACUGAGACACGGUCCAAACUCCUACGGGAGGCAGCAGUGAGGAAUAUUGGUCAAUGGGCGAGAACCUGAACCAGCCAAGUAGCGUGAAGGAUGACUGCCCUAUGGGUUGUAAACUUCUUUUAUAAAGGAAUAAAGUCGGGUAUGGAUACCCGUUUGCAUGUACUUUAUGAAUAAGGAUCGGCUAACUCCGUGCCAGCAGCCGCGGUAAUACGGAGGAUCCGAGCGUUAUCCGGAUUUAUUGGGUUUAAAGGGAGCGUAGAUGGAUGUUUAAGUCAGUUGUGAAAGUUUGCGGCUCAACCGUAAAAUUGCAGUUGAUACUGGAUAUCUUGAGUGCAGUUGAGGCAGGCAGAAUUCGUGGUGUAGCGGUGAAAUGCUUAGAUAUCACGAAGAACUCCGAUUGCGAAGGCAGCCUGCUAAGCUGCAACUGACAUUGAGG
rnacentral:rRNA from 1 species